ACGAACGCUGGCGGCGUGCUUAACACCUGCAAGUCGAACGGUGAAGGGACUGGUUUUGCUGGUCCUGGAUGAGUGGCGAACGGGUGAGUAACACGUGAGUAACCUGCCCCCUUCUUCUGGAUAACCGCAUGAAAGUGUGGCUAAUACGGGAUAUUCUGGGUCUGUCGCAUGGUGGGCCUGGGAAAGAUUGCGCCUUUUUUGGUGUUUUUGGUGGGGGAUGGGCUCGCGGCCUAUCAGCUUGUUGGUGGGGUGAUGGCCUACCAAGGCGGUGACGGGUAGCCGGCCUGAGAGGGUGGACGGUCACACUGGGACUGAGACACGGCCCAGACUCCUACGGGAGGCAGCAGUGGGGAAUAUUGCACAAUGGGCGCAAGCCUGAUGCAGCGACGCCGCGUGAGGGAUGGAGGCCUUCGGGUUGUGAACCUCUUUCGCCAGUGAAGCAGGCCUGCCUCUUUUUGUGGGUGGGUUGACGGUAGCUGGAUAAGAAGCGCCGGCUAACUACGUG
rnacentral:rRNA from 1 species